rnacentral:rRNA from 1 species
GAUGAACGCUGGCGGCGUGCUUAACACAUGCAAGUCGAACGGAAAGGCUCCUGCUUGCAGGGGUACUCGAGUGGCGAACGGGUGAGUAACACGUGGGUGAUCUGCCCUGCACUUCGGGAUAAGCCUGGGAAACUGGGUCUAAUACCGGAUAGGACCACAUUUUGGAUGGUGUGGUGGAAAGUUUUUCGGUGUGGGAUGAGCUCGCGGCCUAUCAGCUUGUUGGUGGGGUAAUGGCCUACCAAGGCGUCGACGGGUAGCCGGCCUGAGAGGGUGUACGGCCACAUUGGGACUGAGAUACGGCCCAGACUCCGACGGGAGGCAGCAGUGGGGAAUAUUGCACAAUGGGCGCAAGCCUGGUGCAGCGACGCCGCGUGGGGGAUGACGGCCUUCGGGUUGUAAACUCCUUUCGCUAGGGACGAAGCGUUUUUGUGACGGUACCUGGAGAAGAAGCACCGGCUAAUUACGUG